AUAUGAAUGCUGGAAACAGAAGAUUGAUCCUUAAACUGCCAGUUCGAGAUCCAACUAAGAUUUUUAUGGCAGAUAUUAGAACACCUAAUGACAGUCAGGUUGAUUUAGUUGGCUCAUCAACCUAUAAAGGUCCACAGGAAGCCACUAAGGUAAAUAGGGUUCAUUUAAGAUCAAUAGAUUUGGGAUCCUCUUCUAGUCAUACGGACUGCAGCACAGGUAGAGGUAGAGGGCAAACAGAAAGCUAUCGUCUAGAUCUGUCAGAAGGAUACAAAAAUGGGGAUAUCAAAUGGGGAGGCGUCAAGGCUCGUACACCUAAGCGCCAGAGAUUUGGAGAAGCCAUGUCAUCAGCUGCACAUGCCAGAUUUAGUGUAGGUCUUGGUCAUAAAAAAGAGGAGAACAAUAUCAAUGGAUACUUUAAACCUCAGAAUACUUGCGGCACAACAUCCCCUUCUUUAGAAGUUCAAAAUUUUGUAGAUAAGAUGGAUGAAGUGGCAGCAAUGAAUGUGGGAGAUAUUGGGGCUGAUACCUCUGAGGUUGUGAAUAAUCUGGCCAAUGGUAAAGGGUGCCUCAGCUUUGAUGGAUGCAUGAAUUCUGAUGAAUUGCCAAAAUUGGCUCACAUGGUUAAUGAGAAUGACAACCCUCCUGAAUUCAAAGGGAGCAAUACACCUAUCUCAACAAAGUUAAGGAUAAAGUCAAGGAAAAUUUCAAGAGAUUUUUCAGAGGAUCAGGGAAAUAAGGGCUGUGAUUUAUUACCUGAUAGCCCCACCGAGAUGAAAGAGAGUCCAGUUUCAGAAGUGUCUGAACAGGACAGAACCAAUAGAAUUACACUAGCUAAUGGACAUGAUCGAUUUCAAGAAUCGGAUGCUCAGAUUGGUGAAGCUUUCGUGCCGCC
rnacentral:misc_RNA from 1 species